AAGGCCCUGCGGUGUUCGUGAACAUAAUGAAGUGCCUUGAGCCAACACCCGGUUAUGGGAGGCUGUUCUACCUGCCGGCGAUAGCGGCGUCGAGGCGUUGCCUGAGUUAAGGCGGGUGAGGCUUCCACUUUUUAGGAUCGGGUCAAGGCCUUCGUGUCACGGCACUCGCGGGGGCGCA
rnacentral:other from 1 species